rnacentral:sRNA from 1 species
CGGUUACUGCUCUUCGCGUGAACGGGGCCUUUUUCCAGUGGCCGAUAACCAUUCCUGAGGGAGCCGGCUCUGCUUUGGCCCUGGCCUCUGUAUCUGGCACCCACCUGACUUGUCAGGCUCUCGGGAAAUUUCGCCCCCACGGUCGCUGCGGUUUCCGC